rnacentral:lncRNA from 1 species
CUCAGCAUAAUCUGUACGUUCUUCAACAUUUUGUUUAUACGACAUUCAAUAAAAAAAUUUGGUCAUAAAUUAAUUUUUCUCCUAAACCCCCAAAGUGAGGCACCGUCGGAACUCACCGUAAAAGAAUAACUCACAAAAACGGAGCCUACUAUGGGGACCCUAACAGGAUUACGGCUACCUUCAACACGAAUCACCGCGACAGCACAGACUCGGCAACAGCUAAGGCGAAAGAGCGCGAACCUUUCUCUGGGCGACAGCGACGGCGAAAGACCACACACACAGCUUACACCGGGGAACGGAAAACAAUUCCGGCUACCUUGAACUCCAAUGACGGCGAGAGCACAGACUGAGACAAGAUCACCGCGAAGGCGAAAGAGCGCGAUGGUUUGUGUUGGGAGAAAUUUUUGAUGCGUGAAAGUGAAUAGUCAAGACAAGCUUCUCUUUGAAGCUUUAGGAUAGUGGGGCCCAGCCCAAAAUUAAGAAAUACUCACAUAACAAAAAUUAAAUGAUAAAUACAGUAUAAAAAUUGAAUUAUACGUAUUUGAAUAUUGAGUGGGACCCAAAUUGGACCUUGGUUGAGUUAAAAGGGAGGAAAAACAAAAAGAAAAUGAAAAUGGAUGAAUCGCCACGUGUCGCGCAUCGGGCACCUAGGUACAUUGCACCUAGGUGCAAGAUGGAAAAAACCCCUCCCCUACCUGCCUGCAACAGGGUCUCACCACCCUCUCACUUCCCCAUCAGUUCAGCCAUACCCAAGUACAUCUAACAACUCAAUCAGCCAUUCUAGCCAUCCCCUACACCCUUUAACGUCUCUGCCAGCAACCCCUCCUUUGUAAAUCAAACUAGCCAGAAAUUGUUGCAUCCUCUUCAUUCUUCACUUAAGGACUUCAAGAAUAGCAGGGGGCCUCUAAUCCAUUUCUGCCAAAUUCUCAAGGUAAGCUUGGCUUUAAUGCUUCCACCUUCUUCCAUGAUUUUACCUGCAUCUAUUGGAGAAACAACAACCAUUAAUUUGUCUAAGCUAUUCCAUUCCAGUUAACACCUCAACAGUUGAAGAAGAGAGAGAGAGAGAGAUCAUUUAUUCAAUACUCUGCCAAACUAAAAGGUAAACCUUGCCUUUAAUUCUUCCAUCUGUCCAUGAUUUCUCCCGCAUUCAUUGAGAGGAACCAAUAAUUGGGAUUAUUUCAGAUUAUCUCAGUUUACUCAAUACCACAGCAACAGCCAACCAACACAUUCUCAAGGUAUUUAUACUACCUCAGUUAUCCAAUCCAGUUCGCAUUCAUACCAACGAGCAUAAUCAUGUUUUACCACUACAUCAAACAGUCCAUGUUAUGUACAGCAAUAGAAAGGCUUAUGUGUAUAUUGCCACUGCACUCUAGAACACAAACCAUGAGGACCUCACACAUAGCACAUGAAUGGACGAACAAGGAUAGCGAUAGCAUGCUCACUGACAGAGUGUUAAACCCUGUUUCUUUCUUGCUCAUAGAAGCUUAAGCUUAUCGAUACUCAGACAUGGUGGGAAGGAGACGAGUCAAGGAUAUAACUUAGCUUGAUUGAGAGGGAGCGGGGCUACUGCCCUGCUCAGGAGUCAGGACAUAACUUCAGUCGAGCCGAGACGACGACGUUCGAAUGCUGCCUCGCCGGACUCCAGACUGAGCAACGGCGACGUACCCUCCUCCGACCGAACCCAACAACGACGUGGUCGACUCCGAAGAGGACAACAGCGACGAUUCGUGAAAGGGAAGGACUCCGGCUCGGAGGAGAGAACGAGGCGACGCCGGCCUCACCGAUUCGCAGAAGACGCUGACUCGUCGGCCUCCACCAGCGGCGACGGCAAUUCAGGCAGGGAAGAGCUAGGGCACGUUUCAAAGAAGGGAGAAAUUUGGGGCUUUUUCCCUCCGUCUUCUUCAGAUAUCGAUUGAAGGAGUGUGACACCGUGAUUGAAAGGAGGAGGUGCCGCUCGCCGGAAUUACAGAGACGACGACGGCGGAUUCAGGCGAAGAAGCUCGCCUUCAUGUUCCGCGAUUCCAGAAAUCGAGAGAGUGAGAGAGGUCUGUUUGAGGGUUGUGCUCGGUGACCAAGGGAUGGGAGGCACCGGACUUAGGCGCCACUACAGCCGACGCCGGCCGGAGCAGGGACGGCGAAAUUUCGAGAGGAAUUUGAGGGAGAGAACAGCGUGUUUGAACUAGAGGGAGAGAGAAACCGAGUUUGUUGAGGGAGGAAUUGGGCCUCAUUUUUUAUUUCCUU